rnacentral:rRNA from 1 species
GACGAACGCGUGGCGGCGUGCCUAACACAUGCAAGUCGAACGGGGUGGUCGGGAGCUUGCUCCUGACACUUAGUGGCGAACGGGUGAGUAACGCGUGAGGAACCUGCCUUUCAGUGGGGGACAACAGUUGGGAACGACUGCUAAUACCGCAUAAUGUAUCUCUGGGACAUCCCUAAGAUACCAAAGCUUUAUGUGCUGAAAGAUGACCUCGCGUCUGAUUAGCUAGUUGGUGGGGUAACGGCUCACCAAGGCGACGAUCAGUAGCCGGUCUGAGAGGAUGAACGGCCACAUUGGGACUGAGAUACGGCCCAG